rnacentral:rRNA from 1 species
GAUAAACGCUGGCGGCGUGCUUAACACAUGCAAGUCGAGGGGCAGCGGGAUUGAAGCUUGCUUCAAUUGCCGGCGACCGGCGCACGGGUGAGUAACGCGUAUCCAACCUUCCGCUUACUCGGGGAUAGCCUUUCGAAAGAAAGAUUAAUACCCGAUGGUAUCUUAAGCACGCAUGAGAUUAAGAUUAAAGAUUUAUCGGUAAGCGAUGGGGAUGCGUUCCAUUAGGCAGUUGGCGGGGUAACGGCCCACCAAACCUACGAUGGAUAGGGGUUCUGAGAGGAAGGUCCCCCACAUUGGGACUGAGACACGGCCCAG